GUAUUUCUUAAGCGUGAUAAAUACAAUGUUCCUAAAGUUGAUGUGUUUCCUGGGUUCCGUACUAACCCCCACUGUCCAUGUCCUCACAUUGUAAGUGACAGAAGGCUCACAUCUGUAACCCAGCAGCACAGAGCAGCAGAGGUCUCAUCUGGAAGAGACAAGUAGCACCCAGCGAGAGCCAGGCCUUCUCCAAUGGCCGAGAAAUCUGACUUAAUUGUUGGCCUUCUACAUAUUUCUCCAGAUUACUUGGUGGGUGUUUGGCACUUGGUGGUCAUUUCAAAAGAUGCAUUCAUUAAAAAAUUAGAAAAAUGUUGGCAGAACACUAACCAAAGUAACAUUUUGCUCAGCUCGAAUUCUAGUAAAUUACCCUAUUCUUCUUCCCUCUGUAGCCUGCCUGCGUCCAGAAUCAUCCUGAAAGUAGUUUCAUGCCCAUUGCUUAUUAAUAUCUCACUUUAGCUUCCAAACUUUGGGUCAAAGCCGAUAUUGACUGCAGAAUCAUCUACUAAUGAUAGAAAAUGUGCCAGAGGCUGACCUCUCUGCCACUGUGCCAUUCCCUGGAUUGGGGGAUGCCUGAAGUUCAUAGGUCACUACAAGUCCUUGAAGCUCAUCUAUCACACAGGCUUCCUGGCUCACGGGGACAAGGUGAUAAGACCACUGUAGUGGCCUCAACCUUCACUCUUCACUGCUAAUAUUCCUUAUGGCAGAGCAGUAGCCCCAGGUUGGCAGCAGGCAUUGGGAGGCAUCGGGGCAUCCACUUCUGGGCACGGAAACAAGUCACACACUUUCUAAUAGCAUCAAGAACAGCUUGAGUGUAUUUCGAAGAGCAGAAUUUUCUAGACUGUUAGAAACAGAUUGGGAAGACGUCUUCGGGCCAUACUGCAGACAGUGGCCUUGCCUGCUGGGACAUUGCUGAUAGUGCAGUGACCUUUCCUGCCUUCUUUCUCACUCCAAGGGUCACAUACUGACCAUGUGACUCCCCCAGAGACCCCUACAAGCCUCUGAACCAAGGGUUCAAAGAACGUUUCACAACUCUUCUGGUCCUAAUGCUCUCCGGGGCUCUCCGUGGCACCUGGUCUUGCCAGGAUGAUGACCCACCUCGGCCUUGUCGCUUCACAUGGAGAUCAGUCACGGCCCGACUGGUACAAAUAUGAGAAACCCGAUUUCAUUUUAUGAUGCUGAGCAGUGUCAAAUAUGGUGGCCCAAGGUCCGUGUUGCCAUCAGAAGACCAAGUCACUUCAAACUCCAGGGAGAUGUUUUAGGGGACAAUUAAGAGUGUUCCGCUCCACCAUGAGGGAGCAGUGUGUAGGACCUUAUCCACUCCUUCGGUUCUAUCCAUCACAGUCCAGAUGUUUAUAGGCUACCACUUGACAGGAAGUUCAAAGGCAUCACCUAAGAGGGAAAGAGUUGCUAUCCUAAUGAGAAUAAAAAAUAAUAACUAAAAAGUAAAACUUUGUAUAAAUAGAGCCCUAGCAGACACUAAGCAGUGAGCUUCAGUGUCUUCCUUCUCUGCUUCCCUCCCCACUCCCCAUGCUUUUUAAAUGCAGAACUGUUAGGGCUUCUCAUCCUCUUGGCAUGAAAUUGCCUUGUCUCUUUCCAUUUGAAACAGUGAGGCACUCUUCUGAGGCCCUCAGGAGAAGCCUGAGGAUGACAUUCAUUCUUGGAGAUGGCCUCAGUGGCUUCCCUGAACUGAUUCCUCCAGUAAAUUGGAUGAAAAUCCAGAGACCAUUCUUAUCGAACAUCUCUAUGCACAGAAGAG
rnacentral:lncRNA from 1 species